rnacentral:rRNA from 1 species
UACGUAGGGUGCGAGCGUUGUCCGGAAUUACUGGGCGUAAAGAGCUUGUAGGCGGUUUGUCGCGUCUUCUGUGAAAACUUGGGGCUCAACCUUAAGCUUGCAGGGGAUACGGGCAGACUAGAGUACUUCAGGGGAGACUGGAAUUCCUGGUGUAGCGGUGAAAUGCGCAGAUAUCAGGAGGAACACCAGUGGCGAAGGCGGGUCUCUGGGAAGUAACUGACGCUGAGAAGCGAAAGCGUGGGUAGCGAACAGG